CUUCUUUCUCUCUCUCGGCCGAACCGAACCAAAAACAGAGCAAAUCAUCAUCAACUCACCUCUCCCACCUCAAAGCACCAGACCACAUCCCACGCCUUCGCCUCGUCCUUCCGUAGCCGCCAGUGGCAGCCUUGCACCACAAAACGGCCGGCAGCGGCGGCGGAGGACACGGUUCCGUUUUGAGCUCGUUUUGGUUCGAUCUCGAUAUCUUGAGCUACAGGACGUCGUUUUGAGUGAUUCUUGAACCAGUGAGUUCUUCUUGAGUUUCUUAACAACUCUUCAGAAGGAAUCGAAGCCUUAAAUUGAAGUUUUGACGUCGAAAUCGAGCCUUGCCGGAUUCUGCAAAAUUCUGCAAAUUUUCCGACCACCGAAGCUUUCGAUCGGUAUAUCUCGAGCUACAGACCAUAUUUUUCUGUGAUUCUUAAACCAAUCAGUUCGUCUUAAGUUUCUUAACAACUCUCUAGAAGGAAUCGAAGCCUGAAAUUGAAGUUUUUACGUCGAUCGGAGCCCUCGCCGGAUUCUGCAAAAUUCAGCAAAUUUUCCGACCACCGAAGCUUUCGAUCGGUAUAUCUCGAGCUACAGACCAUAUUUUUCUGUGAUUCUUGAACCAAUGAGUUCGUCUUGAGUUUCUUAACAACUCUCUAGAAGGAAUCGAAGCCUGAAAUUGAAGUUUUGACGUCGAAAUCAAGCCUUGCCGGAUUCUGCAAAUUUCGCCGGAUUCUGGAACUUUUCCGGCCACCUCGACUGUUCUAGGUGAUUGACGGUUUGAGUUGGUGGACGAUUGUGGAUCGUAUUUUGAGCUGAAUUGAAGACGCAGCGGGAUUAUCGAGCGGGUAAUCCUACAGGACAGGAGAACCAGGACGGUGAUCAUGCGGUUAGAGCAAUUGUUAGAGUUUUACAGCAAUUGUAAGUUGUGAGGUGUGUUAUGCUCAUUUGAGCUUUACAAUAUAUUGUGACAGUGAAUUGUAAUAAUGAACUCGAAGUUUCGAGAUUUGGAUUUUGUAAUUGUAAUUAUUCAGGUUUCGGAUUUGAAUUUAUUAUUCAAAAUCCGGGGCGUGACAGCACUUUCUUGAUAUUGCAAAAGAUCUAAUACAAAUUGAGAAACAUAUCUCUAGUAUGGGCUAUACCUCUAAUUUGAUCUUGAUCGUCUCCCACCUCUCAUUCCGUAACCCCACUGCAGAUUAAGACUGCAGAAUGUAAUAUGUUGAUCAAGAAACCUUUUGCUUAAACAGAUUAACCAAGAAAUCAUAUGCUGAUUCUUACUU